ensembl:snoRNA
CAGGAGCCUAAAAAGACGUCUUUCUAUAGUUUGAUGGCCAUUUCAGAACUUGGGCAGUGAAAUGGUCAAUUUGUUAGAAAGAAACAUCC